rfam:Salmo salar isolate Sally breed double haploid chromosome ssa06, whole genome shotgun sequence.
AAUGCACCAAUUUGUAAGUCGCUCUGGAUAAGAGCGUCUGCUAAAUGACUUAUA